rnacentral:lncRNA from 1 species
GUUUUAUUCAUCAUAUGCAAAAAUAUGCAUCUUUAACAUUAGAAGACAGGAACAUGGCUUAUGUGGGACAGAGAACUGAAAUGAAGAACUUGGGGUCCCUGCAGAACCCACAGAACACAAGAAUUAAAUGUCCAACACAGGAGGGCUCCUCCCUUUUUCAGCAUAUAAUGGAUGGUAGAGAGAGAAGACUGGUUGUUGCAGUUCAAAGCAUAAUGCUUUGUGUAUUUUCUCAAAUUUGUAGAAUCUAGAAACAGGUACAUGUUUUCAAAGGACUCAUUGGCAAGUGUUGAAACUAUUUUGCUUAGGUAUUGUGAUCUGUUAUGCUUGUAGUUCUGUAAGCAUUCAAUAAUGUCUGUUCUGAUGUUUUGGGUAUUUCUCAAAAUAUGGAGACAAAAUCUACAGCAGCAUGGGAGUGGGAAUAUUUUAUAUGUAAUGUAGUCUUCUCAUUUUUCAUUCUUGUUUAUCUUCUGAUUUUGCUUCUUGGACUCGAACUGCAAGGUGUUGAGGCAUUGCAAGUGUGUUUUCAUGGUGGGAUUCCAGAAUGAUCCAGAGGAAUGUGCAAGCUAACAUAUGAUGUACAUUAAAUUUCCUCAUAUGAUUUACAGGUUUUACAGAAAACCUGUGAUGAAACCAAGAUUUCAAACCUUAUUUUCCUGUGUCCUAGUGAUCUAAGAGCAAAGUUGGACAUUUUGGUUAAUUUUUUAACUUAUCAAGAGUGCGUGGGCUAAACUAAUCAGGUUAGAUUUUAUGGAUAGUCUGGAUAAAAAUAGGAUGUGAAAUGUCAUAGUGGGAUGUUAAUCUCUCCAGAAUAUUGCACUUUUUUGGCCCUAGGAGGCCUCUGUCUCAAAGAAACUUUGCUAUUCAGCUGCCUGUGAAUAAAAGAUUCUUCUCUAGGUCAGCAGAGCACACCAUGAGCUUUUGAACAAGACCAGACUAAGUUUGGUCCCCUUGGCCACUGAAUAAUUGAGCAGAGAGAAGAUGUCACAAAAAGUGACAAAACAAAACUUUUGAGGCUGCUGUCAUUUUUGUUACACUGCACUGGGAAACUGUUUUACUUGAAGAGUUUUUCAUAGAGAAAAGAGAGGUGCAGAAUUUUUUAUUUCUCCAAAGGCUCCUUAGCAACAGUACUUUUUGCUUCCAGUUUGGUGCCACACCCAUAGGCUCAAACCCUCGCCAAUGCAAGCCUACUGAUACUGGGUAUGAAGCUGCCCUCACAAGAUAAACGCCAUUUGUCAUGGCAGGUCUGAGUGCGGCCUUCUGCACUCACUGUGUAUGGCCUUAGGCUCUUCUGUCUUGAAAGGAGCUGUAUUUCCAUCUGAGGCAUACAAAAACUUUUUCAUCCUGGACAGGACUCAGACCUCCUUGCUUUUGUGAUGCUUUGACUUUUCUUGUUGCUCUGUGUCUGCACUCCUGACACUGCUUCCCAGUGCUUCACAGACAAAGCCAGGAAGAGCCAUAGCUAUGUAUAAUGAUGCCACUGCUUGCAAAUGAGGCUCAAAAGCUUCACAGGUGUUUAGAAAGUAUGCCAGACCUAGAAGAUCAGUGUGUGCAACAACAACUUAAUAAAUACACAAGCAUAUAGGAGUCAGAAGAGUACAGUGUCAGAAUUCAGGAGCUCCUAAUGUAUGCACCUUAACCAUCUGACCAGUGUAACCAGUUAUUUUGUUUUAAAUUUUCAUUAAUUUUUCCUACUCAUAUUUUUAAUCCAUUUGCUUUCUAUAUUUUUCAUUUUUUAAACAAGUGAGUAAAAUGAGAUAAACAUUAUUAUACUGUAGAUAGAGGUCAAGAAUCUACAUCUUUGAAAUCACCACAAUACUUUUUGGAUUCUCUCUUAAGAUUUGGUUUCUGAGAAUAUGAGUCUCAAACAUUUUUACUGUAGCUCUAUUUUCCAUUCUUGUAUUUUUUCAGUCUGUUGAACUGACUAGCCACAUCUUUUUCUCUCUCUUCCUUCUCUUCCGGAAUAAACCCUUUCAAAUGUAUUCAUUUCCUACAAAUCUAAUGAAAAUAAGGCUGUGGAUGGGGGAGGGAAAGCCUGAUUCUCACUGAGGGAAAAACCAGAGUUGAGAUUAAGCACAUUACUUUGACAGCAGAGAUUCCAGACUGGGAGGAAGGAGGAAGACUGGAAAAAUUAAUUCCACCAUUUGUGCACUUACAUGCAGAUUUUCUGGCUAUCUGCUCCUUCAGAAAGGUAAUAUUAUUUAAGUAAACAAUUAAAUUAAAAAAGAAAAAAAAAAGCCUAAGUGUAAGAACCGUAGGCUAACUUUGGGCCUAAAAAUCACAUUUUUCACCUGGAUGACCAGUUUGGCCUAGCUAUUAUCACAAACCAGCUCUAAACCAGGACUUUUUGUAAACAUUUAUUCUAGGGAAAAUCACUGCACUUUCCUCAAAACUCCCUGGGGCUCAUGGGAUGGAGAGAGGGACAAGCAAUUUACUGGCACAGAAAAAUACUAUUGGAGCUGCAUAUGAAAUUAUUUCCUGCUUUUCAAACAAAUGGGGAUUGGUGUCACUGACCUGAGAGUGCUGCAGAAGUGUCUCCCACAGGACCUGGACCUGCAGUGGGACGUGGGAGCUGUGAGACCAGCACUCAGCAGUUCUGCACAGAGCUGUAGGAAGGAACCCACCCAAAACUGCAGUGAGGGACUUUUGGAGACCCUUGUAAGGGACAAACCUGUACAUGUGACUUGAGUACAGUCCAAUGUGGUCCCAUCCACUUAAUAUGUCCUUCUCAACUUAUCCCUAUGCAAAGAAAUUACUUUUCUCUAGGAUCUGCUGAGUUGUUUUGCAUCCCAAACCUUCACAGAGAGCAGAUCUGCUGAUCUGACCUGAGUACAUGAUACCCUUCACUGCAGCAGGGAUGCCAGGAUAUUCCUGCCAUCAACAGAGCUAUCCAUCCAAUCCUUACUGGUACAUUGGAGCACAGAUCACAUGCUUUUUCAGGCUAAUGAUGAUAUAAGGGAGUACAAUCCAUGGGUUGCCACUGCAGCAGCUCCAGGCAAGAACCUCUGCUAUUCCAACAAGAGGAAAGAAUAAAGUUUAUAGAAUUCACCUAGUCUUUGCCCAUCAUGGAUUAUCUUUCUCCUCCUGGCUUCAGGCUUCAUUGUCAAUAUCAGAGCCAAGUACUGCUGCCACUGAGACUUGGUAAGCCUGGUGAAGCACAGCUCAGUUUUCCCUUGCUUACCUUUGACUCUCACAGGCAGAGUCAAAGAUGAGAAAAUAUCUCAUGUUAUUCUGAAAGCCUUUGUCCCUCAGCUGUCUGCCCAAGCAAUGCAGCACCAGCCUUCCUGGCAGGGAGUAGGGUGCAGGAUUUUGUGACUUGUUGAAAGAGACAAUAUAUCAUCAAUUCAAGUUUGCCUUGUUCUUUUGUUCGAGCAAAUGGGAGCUUUGUCUCUAACUUUGUGGAGAGGAAAGUCAGGACCCUGGUCAACAGAAAAUAAACCAUUUAAAUAAAAAAGAGUAAAAUGUGAAGAUGGAUUGCUUUCUAUCAAAGUUAGAAAGUACUUACUAUUUGGAGAAAAGUGUUUGUUUGAAUUAUAACACUGAAAGUCCCUUUCAAAGAGCUCUCUAAAUAGUUUUGUGUUUUCCUUUUGGAAGUUCACUGCUGAAAGUUAAGAAAUCCCCAAUAAACAUGAAAAUUUAUUUACAAAGUUAUAGGUGUGAGUAUGAAGCAUAAAAUUAAUAUUUAAUGUACAAGAGCUCUUGCAUAAUAUUUGUGCAAUUGAUUCUUUUUUUUUUUUUUUUAUUAUCGCUGUCAUAAUGAUCAUUCCUUAUUUCACACUGAAAUCUGUUUCUGAUGGUUAGUUCUAAGCAGACACUUUUUCUGUGAUUAACAUCAUUGGACAUCUCAUUACAG